rnacentral:rRNA from 1 species
ACAUCCAGAGAAUUUAGCAGAGAUGCUUUAGUGCCUUCGGGAACUCUGAGACAGGUGCUGCAUGGCUGUCGUCAGCUUGUGUUGUGAAAUGUUGGGUUAAGUCCCGNAACGAGCGCAACCCUUUAUCCUUUGUUGCCAGCACGUAAUGGUGGGAACUCAAAGGAGACUGCCGGUGAUAAACCGGAGGAAGGUGGGGAUGACGUCAAGUCAUCAUGGCCCUUACGAGUAGGGCUACACACGUGCUACAAUGGCGCAUACAAAGAGAAGCGACCUCGCGAGAGCAAGCGGACCUCAUAAAGUGCGUCGUAGUCCGGAUUGGAGUCUGCAACUCGACUCCAUGAAGUCGGAAUCGCUAGUAAUCGUAAAUCAGAAUGUUACGGUGAAUACGUUCCCGGGCCUUGUACACACCGCCCGUCACACCAUGGGAGUGGGUUGCAAAAGAAGUAGAUAGCUUAACCUUCGGGAGGGCGUUUACCACUUUGUGAUUCAUGACUGGGGUGAAGUCGUAACAAGGUAAGCGUAGUGCU